rnacentral:lncRNA from 1 species
AGCAGAUGCGGUGUCAUGGUCUGAGGGGGGGUGUCCGAACCCAGACUGGACCCAGGCUCUGAGGACCCCGAGAGGCAGGAAGCCCCUUGGAGGCCUGGUGGGACAGUGGCCCCGGGGGUGUUUGCUCAGAGUUUUCUCUCAACAAGUAGGUCUGGGGUGGAUUCCAGAGAGUUCUUCCUCGCAUUCUCACUGGUGUAGGUAGACAGAGGUGGAGACCAGUCGGGGAGAAACGGAGGGGAGUCGGCAGAGGCCUCAACUCCUGUCCAGCCAGCUUUAUGGGAGAGACUUUUGAGUGCUUAUGUUGCAUGGAGCUGGGGGAUGGGAGGGACAUCUGACAGAUGACGAGAUGCUUAGCACAUGACCAACGACAAAAGCUGGUUAGCAGGCAAAGCCGGCUCAGGGCCCGUGGGCCCCGGGCAGGGUGGCUCCCUCAGGAGGAGCCCUGUCCCACAGCCGGGCUCUCACACGGGGCCCUGACACCACCCCAGCCACAGCAGCCCCCCGGCUCUUCUCAUGGAGAUCACCCUCCCCUCCCAACCCAGCGACGCCAGCAUCUUUGACUGAGUUCUGGAAAAAUUCCUUUCUCCUUAACUAUGCCAAGAAAGGGCUGAAAAUUUCCAAGAGGAACACUUCACUGAGACCCGGAGGGGAAAACCCAGGGGCAGAGGAACGGUGAGUUUCCAGAGUGCAGACCAUCUGACCACACGUCUAGUGGAAGAUCACUUGCUGGGCAUGGUGGAGGAGGGGUGUCUGUGCCCCGGAAUUCCUUGACUCAGCCAGGCCUGGCGGGGAGCCUUGCUUCCAGCCCGGCAGGGACAUCCGUCGUCGUCCCGAUGAACUGGGAUCUUUUGAAUGAUCCAUCUGUCCUCCACGGAGCUGUGAGGAACAGAGUCCCAGGAGGGGAGGCAGACAGGACUGAGAACGGGGAUGACCCCAUAGCAAUCGCCCAGGACCGGUGUGACCCGGUGACUCAGAUGACCACCCACUGCAAGAUCCACCAUGCCAAUCCACUUUCCCUCCAGACCAACGGUUCUCAAAGUCUGGUCCCUGGACCAGCAGCAUCAGCAUCACCUGGGAACUUGUUAGAAAUGCAGAUUCUGAAGGCACCUGGGUGGCUCAGUCGUCAAGCGUCUGCCUUCGGCUCAGGUCAUGAUCCCAGCGUUCUGGGAUCGAGCCCCGCAUCGGGCUCCCUGCUCAAUGGGGAACCUGCUUCUCCC